UACAGAGGUCCCAAGCGUUGUUCGGAUUCACUGGGCGUAAAGGGUGCGUAGGUGGUUAGGUAAGUCCGAUGUGAAAUCUCCAGGCUCGACCUGGAAAUGGCAUUGGAUACUAUCUAGCUUGAGGAGUGGAGGGGGGACUGGAAUUCUCGGUGUAGCAGUGAAAUGCGUAGAUAUCGAGAGGAACACCAGUGGCGAAGGCGAGUCCCUGGACACUUCCUGACACUGAGGCACGAAAGCCAGGGGAGCAAACGGG
rnacentral:rRNA from 1 species